AAAACGACUCUCGGUAACGGAUAUCUCGGCUCUCGCAUCGAUGAAGAACGUAGCGAAAUGCGAUACUUGGUGUGAAUUGCAGAAUCCCGUGAACCAUCGAGUCUUUGAACGCAAGUUGCGCCCCAAGCCUUCUGGCCGAGGGCACGUCUGCCUGGGUGUCACAA
rnacentral:rRNA from 1 species